rnacentral:rRNA from 1 species
GACGAACGCUGGCGGCGUGCUUAACACAUGCAAGUCGAACGAAGUGGCGAACGGGUGAGUAACGCGUAAUCAAACUGCCCUUCAGAGGGGGACAACAGUUGGAAACGACUGCUAAUACCGCAUACUGAAGGAGGGGAUUGCGUCUGAUUAGUUAGUCGGGGGGGUAAAGGCCCACCAAGGCGAUGGUCAGUAGGCGGUCUGGGAGGAUUGCCAGCCACAUUGGGACUGAGAACCGGCCCAGACCCCUACGGGAGGCAGCAAUGGGGAAUCUUCCGCAAUGGACGAAAGUCUGACGGAGCAACGCCGCGGGAGUGGUGACGGCCUUCGGGUUGUAAAGCUCUGUUAAUCGGGACGCGGUACCGGAAUAGAAAGCCACGGCUAACUACGUGCCAGCAGCCGCGGUAAUAC